GAUUUCAAAGGCUUCUACACCGCUGUCUUGGAAACAAAUGGGGAAAUAGUUUGUGUUGCAGCUCUAAGGUGGUUCCAGAGGGUUUAUGGUAUUGUCCAUAUUGUAUCUGCAAGUUCUGUGGAGAAAUGGAUGAUGAUUUGAUGAACAAAUGCCAUCAAUGUGGCAGGAAAUAUCAUUUGAAGUGCUGUCAAGGGUUGGAAGAAAGAGAACUUGAUCUAAACAUGGUCUCUCAUGAUCUUUACUGUGACCAGAAUUGCAUAGAGUUCAAAUUUCAAUAGAAUUGACUUCAAAGGCUUCUACACCGCUGUCUUAGAAACAAAUGGGGAAAUAGUUUGUGUUGCAGCUC